rnacentral:sRNA from 1 species
CCUGCUCAUCUGCACGGGGCCCACCUGCUGUGCCCAGGCCUCUCCACGCUUACAUAACCCAGUGUCCACCUCUCCAAGGGGGGCACUAAUGCCGGGAGGAACGAGCUAGGGGCACAGACAGGAGACAGGACCCUCUCCAGGCUGGGACAGGGCCUGACCCCCUUCUUCCUGUCCUCAGAUGUGGACGAGUGCAGCUCCGGGCAGCAUCAGUGUGACAGCUCCACUGUCUGCUUCAACACCGUGGGUUCAUACAGCUGCCGCUGCCGCCCAGGCUGGAAGCCCAGACACGGAAUCCCGAAUAACCAAAAGGACACUGUCUGUGAAGAUAUGACUUUCUCCACCUGGACCCCGCCCCCUGGAGUCCACAGCCAGACACUUUCCCGAUUCUUCGACAAAGUCCAGGACCUGGGCAGAGACUCCAAGACAAGCUCAGCCGAGGUCACCAUCCAGAAUGUCAUCAAAUUGGUGGACGAACUGAUGGAAGCUCCUGGAGACGUAGAGGCCCUGGCGCCACCUGUCCGGCACCUCAUAGCCACCCAGCUGCUCUCAAACCUUGAAGAUAUCAUGA